rnacentral:rRNA from 1 species
UGCGCAGGUGGGCUUGUAAGUCAGUGGUGAAAUCUUGCCGCUUAACGGUAAAAUUGCCAUUGAUACUGCAAGUCUUGAGUAUGGUUGAGGUAGGUGGAAUGUGUUGUGCAGCGGUGAAAUGCAUAGAUAUGACACAGAACGCCGAUUGCGAAGGCAACUUACUAAGCCAUUACUGACGCUGAGGCACGAAAGCGUGGGGAGCGAACAGGAUUAGAUACCCUGGUAGUCC